rnacentral:rRNA from 1 species
AACGAACGCUGGCGGCAGGCCUAACACAUGCAAGUCGAACGGAUGUAGCAAUACAUUAGUGGCGCACGGGUGCGUAACACGUGGGAAUGUACCCCAGGGUAAGGAAUAAUGUCUGGAAACGGACACUAAUACCUUAUAAUGACUUUGGUCCAAAGAUUUAUCGCCCUGGGAUCAGCCCGCGCCUGAUUAGCUAGUUGGUGAGGUAAUGGCUCACCAAGGCUACGAUCAGUAGCUGGUCUGAGAGGAUGAUCAGCCACACUGGAACUGAGACACGGUCCAGACUCCUACGGGAGGCAGCAGUGAGGAAUAUUGCACAAUGGAGGAAACUCUGAUGCAGCCAUGCCGCGUGAGUGAAGAAGGCCUUCGGGUUGUAAAGCUCUUUUAGUCGUGAAGAUAAUGACGGUACCCGCAGAAGAAGCCCCGGCUAACUUCGUGCCAGCCGCCGCCGUAACAC